GGAUAAGAGCGCCAAGCAGGCCUCCAGGCCCACCAUGUUGGUUAGGCCAACACAGGUUACGACCACUAAGUGGGAUUGAGUACCCUCUGCCAGCGAUGGUCAACGGAAGACUCAAGAUAAGAAGCUGCUAUCAAAGGCCGAGCCACAACGUCCAACUCACUCCGGCAGGCUUGUCAGCUGACCCAUCAGUUCCUUCCCAAGGU